GUGAUGAGAUCAUGUCAGUGAGAUCUAAAUCUUUGAUAGCCAUGAUCUAAAAUAUUUUCAAUCAUUGAUUUAUUGAGUCGAGGAUCAAUGAUACCGAUAAGACUGGCAUGUCCUAUGUAUGCUCAGUGAUGAGGGUGGUUGAUCUCACAAUCUCUUAUGUGGUGAUACUAAUAUAAGGAUGUGGAUGCUCAUUAGAGAAUGAGUUUACUAAAUAGACCUGCAAAAAAAUAUCUGAUGGAGUCUUAUUUACAUGUCAGCUG
rnacentral:lncRNA from 1 species